GGCAGCGCCCUUACCCUGAUCCCAGUUCUCUUCACACCGCACGCGGCGCUAGCCGCCAACCGCUAGAAAGCCAUGGCCAGGGCAGGGCUGCUGCUGUCGCCUGAUCGGCGAUCGAUCGCAGUAGCGUGGCGUGAUGGCGGCGGUGCUGACGGCAUGACGAAUCCAUCUCCAUCCCUGUUCCCUCGCCCCCUUUUGGUUCUGAACUUUUGGACCCCGCAAUCUGUAGCGAGUAGGCCACACCCGGAUAGCUCGCAGAUUCAACUAUGGAAGUCUACAGGCAGCUAGACAUGGACACGGUUGGUCAAGAAAAACUUGAAUGAUUGCUUGGUUCCCUUUCAUCUUCUUGCAAGUUAAUGAUGAGGACAACAUCAGUCAUUAUCAAAGCAUCAAGGAUCGCACAAUUGUCCUGUAAUUUGUAAGCUUUCUUAUCGCUUAUCAUUUGCUAUUUAUCAAUUUGUAAGGUUUAUUAUCAUUUGCUAUUUUCUAUCUUCUAUAUAUAUCUUAGAUUUUGCCACAUAGUGUUGAACAAUUAUUACUUCUAUAUGUUGAACAUUUCCAAGGCUAUGGACACUUUUUUAUGCAUGUAAUAUAUUUUAUAUAUUUUAAAACUAGUAUAAUAUGCUAAUAAAAUCGGUUAUAUGCGCUAAAAGAAAGGCUAUAGGUUUCCAAAAACAUGUUUUGAAAUUUUGAAUACACAAUGUUGAAAUCAUGGGCCCGCCCCUGGUUGACCCGUUUAGUCUAGCCAUCAGUUUGUGGGUGGUAAGCAGUUGACAUCUGUAGUUUAGUGCCCCACAGUUUGAACAACUGCUUUCCAGAAAUUACUUAUGAAGAUCUUGUCUCUGUCUGAAGUAAUGGUGUAGGGCAUACCAUGUAGUUUUACCACUUGCUGCAGGAAGAUAUGAGCAAUCUGAGCUGCUGUAUAUGGGUGUUUAAGGGGUAUAAAGUGACUGUACUUGGCGUAUCUGUCUACAACCACCAGGAUGCAAGAAGAUCCAUUUGAUUUUGGAAGGUCCUCAAUAAACUCCAUGGAAAUAUCCUCCCAAGGGCCCCUAGGUAUUGUUUUGAUUCCUGCCCAAUGAAAUAGCUUCUUGAUUUUCUAGUAAGUAGCCAAGCUACCGGAAUGCCCUCCUACAGGGGAAGAGUGCAGCGCUUCGAUGAUCUCAGUUACCUUGCAUUGGCCCCCACCCAAAUUCUUCCUUGAUGUUUUAAUAGACCAUUCUCCAAAGAAUAUUCAGGUUCUUCUUCCGGAUUGGCAGUUAACUUCUGCAGAAGUUGUUGAGCUUGAGUCUCAGUGUCAUAGGAAUUGAGGAUUCCUUGAAUCCAAACAGGUUGAGAAGUAGACACAGCAGGCAAAACAAGUAUAUGUCCUAUUCUGGAAAGUGAAUUUGCAACUUUAUUCUCAGGACCUCUUUUAUACUGAAAAGAAAAUUGCAAUCCCACUAGCUUGGUCAUUGCUUUUCUCCAAAGAUUCGAAGUGAGUUCCUGUGUACCUAACUGGCAUAGGCUCUUGUUGUAUGUUUUGAUGACAAAAGGACCUCUGGAAAUAUAUUA